rnacentral:rRNA from 1 species
CCUACGGGUGGCAGCAGUGAGGAAUAUUGGUCAAUGGCCGGAAGGCUGAACCAGCCAAGCCGCGUGAAGGACGAAGGUGCCAAGCAUUGUAAACUUCUUUUGUCAAGGGACAAAAUCAGGUUCGAGAGCCUGAACGAGGGGACUUGAAGAAAAAGCAUCGGCUAACUCCGUGCCAGCAGCCGCGGUAAUACGGAGGAAGGGAGUGUUAUCCGGAUUUUUGGGGUUUAAAGGGUGAGUAGGUGGACUGUUAAGUCAGCGGUAAAAACCCGGGGCUCAACCCCGGCGAGCCGUUGAAACUGGCUGUCUUGAGAUGUCGAGAGGUAUGCGGAAUGCGCGGUGUAGCGGUGAAAUGCUUAGAUAUUGCGCAGAACUCCGAUUGCGAAGGCAGCAUACCGGCGGCGAUCUGACGCUGAGGCACGAAAGCGUGGGUAUCGAACAGGAUUAGAUACCCCGGUAGUC